UACGAAGGGUGCAAGCGUUACUCGGAAUUACUGGGCGUAAAGGGCGCGUAGGUGGCGUCGUAAGUCUGUGGUGAAAGCCCGGAGCUCAACUCCGGGUCUGCCGCGGAUACUGCGAGGCUUGAGUGCUGUAGAGGGGGGUAGAAUGCCGGGUGUAGCGGUGGAAUGCGUAGAGAUCCGGCAGAAGACCGGUGGCGAAGGCGGCCCCCUGGGCAGUAACUGACACUGAGACGCGACAGCGUGGGGAGCAAACAGG
rnacentral:rRNA from 1 species